rnacentral:rRNA from 1 species
UGCAGUCGAACGAGGGAGCAAUCCCUAGUGGCGAACGGCGGAGUAAGGCAUAAGCAACGUGCCCCGAAGUCUGGGAUAUACAACCGAAAGGCUGGGUAAUACCGGAUGUGAUCACGAUUUGGCAUCUUAUUGUGAUCAAAGGUUUUUCGCUUCGGGAGCGACUUAUGUGCCAUCAGGUAGUUGGUGAGGUAACGGCUCACCAAGCCGACGACGGCUAGGGGGUCUGAGAGGAUGAUCCCCCCGAGUGGGACUGAGACACGGCCCACACACCUACGGGUGGCAGCAGUUUGGAAUCUUGCCCAAUGGGGGAAACCCUGAGGCAGCGACGCCGCGUGGAGGAUGAAGGAUUUAGGUUCGUAAACUCCUUUUGCCAGGAAAGACUUAGGACGGUACCUGGCGAAUAAGCCCCGGCUAACUCCGUGCCAGCAGCCGCGGUAAUACGGAGGGGGCAAGCGUUGUCCGGAUUUACUGGGCGUAAAGGGCGCGUAGGCGGUCUGUUAAGCGUGAUGUGAAAUCUCCAGGGCUCAACCCGGAAACUGCAUUGCGAACUGGCAGACUUGAGGAAGGUAGAGGUAAGUGGAAUUCCUGGUGUAACGGUGACAUGUGUAGAUAUCAGGAGGAACACCGAUGGCGAAGGCAGCUUACUGGGCCUUUCCUGACGCUGAGGCGCGAAAGCGUGGGUAGCAAACAGAAUUAGAUACUCUGGUAGUCCACGCCCUAAACGAUGGAUACUAGGCGUCUGGGGUAUUGACCCCCUAGGUGCCGCAGCUAACGCAUUAAGUAUCCCGCCUGGGGAGUACGGCCGCAAGGUUGAAACUCAAAUGAAUUGACGGGGACCCGCACAAGCGGUGGAGCAUGUGGU